rnacentral:rRNA from 1 species
AUGGAUUUUUUCAGGAUCUUGGAGAAUGCUUUCUCAGUGUGGUUCAGGUUAAAUUGUUGUCCUACUGUUCCUGCUCAGCCUCCUAAUGUUCUAUGUCUUGGCCGCGCCUUCUUCCAGCUUCUCUAUUGGUUUUCUCUUCACACCGAUCAGGCAGGGGUCGACGAGGCAAAGGGGGAUGGAGAAGUGGUCGAGCUGGAGGCGUACAGGCAGGGCACCCAGAAGACGGAGCUGUGCAACAAGUGGGAGGGCGGCGCCUGCUCCUGCGGCGGCCGGUGCCGGUUCGCGCAUGGCCUGCAGGAUGAUGGUUUCUUAAUUUCGUUGACUAACCAGGGAGUUCAAGGAUGA